AUACGUAGGGGGCAAGCGUUGUCCGGAAUUAUUGGGCGUAAAGGGCGCGUAGGCGGCUACUUAAGUCUGAUGUAAAAGGCCACGGCUCAACCGUGAGCAGGCAUUGGAAACUGAGUAGCUUGAGUGCAGGAGAGGAGAGUGGAAUUCCCGGUGUAGCGGUGAUAUGCGUAGAUAUCGGGAGGAACACCAGUGGCGAAGGCGGCUCUCUGGCCUGUUACAGACGCUGAGGCGCGAAAGCGUGGGUAGCGAACAGGAUUAGAUACCCUGGUAGUCCACGCCGUAAACGAGGAGUGCUAGGUGUUAGGGGUAUUGACGCCCUUAGUGCCGAAGUUAACACAUUAAGCACUCCGCCUGGGGACUACGGCCGCAAGGCUAAA
rnacentral:rRNA from 1 species